rnacentral:lncRNA from 1 species
GAGGUUGAAGUAGCAUUUUCCAAUAGUCAUUCUGCCUUAUUUACUUCAGUCCUUGAUGGAAAUUCUUUCUCAAGUGCAUCACCAGCUCCCUGCUUCUGAGAAUGGACACUCCAAGAUUUGAACUUUUCUGCAGAUGGAGUCUCUCUCUGGAGUGCAGAGUCUGGAGUCUCUCUCUGAGUGCACCCAGGCUGGAGUGCAAUUGCAUGAUCUCGCUUCACUACAACCUUCACUUCCCAGAUUCAAGUGAUUCUCCUGCCUCAGCCUCCUGAGUAGCUGGGAUUACAGGCCUGCAUCACCACACCCAGGUAAUUUUUGUAUUUUUAGCAGAGAUGAGGUUUCGCCAUGUUGGCCAGGCUGGUCUUGAACGCCUGACCUCAGGUGAUCCACCUUCCUUGGCCUCUGAAAGUGCUGGGAUUACAGGUGUGAGCCAGUGCACCAGCCUUUUUUUUUGAGAGAGGGUCUCACUGUGUUGCCCGGGCUGGAAUGCAAACACAGCUCACUGCAGCCUUGACCCCCUACCAAACUCAAGCAAUCUUCCUGCCUCAGCCU